rnacentral:rRNA from 1 species
UACAGAGGUGGCAAGCGUUGUUCGGAAUUAUUGGGCGUAAAGAGCUUGUAGGCGGUUUGUCGCGUCUGCUGUGAAAUUUCGGGGCUCAACCCCGAACUUGCAGUGGGUACGGGCAGACUAGAGUGUGGUAGGGGAGACUGGAAUUCCUGGUGUAGCGGUGAAAUGCGCAGAUAUCUGGAGGAACACCGGUGGCGAAAGCGCGGGACUGGGCCGUAACUGACGCUGAGGAACGAAAGCCAGGGAGCGAAAGGG